rnacentral:rRNA from 1 species
GACGAACGCUGGCGGUGUGCCUCAUACAUGCAAGUCGAACGAUAAGGUUCCUUCGGGAAUACAUAAGUGGCGGACGGGUGAGUACAAUGUAGGAAAUCUGCCUUAGGGUGGGGGACAACAGAGGGAAACUCCUGCUAAUACCGCAUAAUGCAGUUGGGUCGCAUGGCUCUGACUGCCAAAGAUUUUAUCGCUCUGAGAUGGCCUCGCGUCUGAUUAGCUGGUUGGUGGGGUAACGGCCUACCAAGGCGACGAUCAGUAGCCGGACUGAGAGGUUGACCGGCCACAUUGGGACUGAGACACGGCCCAG